AGAGAGACUCAGACACUUCAGCUGGAAAAAGCUUGAAGUCCUGUAUUGAAUAGUGGUUCUCUCCUUUCCCUGAAGCUUUGGUGCCAGCUGAUUUCCAGGCAAAAUAAUCUUUGCUUCUACCCAAACAAGAAGAAAAUACAAGAAGUUACCUAGAAAAUACAACAAGUUCUUUCCCUGGGAAGAAUUUCAGUAGACGAAAUUACUCAGCCACGAAAAAUGAGGACAUGCCUCCUGUGACAAUGUGGAUAGAACUUGAGGUUAUUAUGCUAAGUGAAAUAAGUCAAAGACAAAUACUGUAUAAUCUCACAUAUAUGUGGAAUAUAAAACAACAACAAUAAACUCAAAGAAAAAGAGAUCAGAUUUGUGGUUACCAUAGGUGAGGGUUGAGGGGAGCGGGGAUUGGAUGAAGGAGGUCAAAAGGCACAAGCUUCCAAGAGAAAUCAGUACUCACGACGUAAUGUACAACAUGAUGACUACAGGGUUUCCACAUGGAGGACAGCUGAUUUCCUCUAUCGAGGGAAAGAAGGUGUUGCUGCAACUUAGGAAGAGCCAGAUGGAAGAGGUGUAAGGUAUGUGAGGAGGGGUGGGGAGCUUCCAUGCUCUUUGGAUCCACCGGUCUCCUGGCACCUCCACGUCUUCACCAACCCGGAAACUCAAUUACGCCAUUUGAUCCCAGUUUCAUCCGUGCCGUUUUGAGCGCUAGGUGCUCGUCACUGAGUUAAGAGCUUUAUAAACACUGUUUCAUUGAAUUCUCAC